AUACGAGUACUAACUCACCGGCCAAAUCUCUCCUGCUCAUCCUCUCCGUCUUUCAUCUCUCACUCUCUCUGGAUAUGAUCUGCCCCAGCGACGGAGGAGAGGGCACGAACCUCUGCGAGCCCCGCGACAAAGGGGAGGGGCCGCGCCGGAGGGAAGUGGAAGGGGACGGAGGGGAGGGGGCCGCGUCGGAGGGUAGUGGAAGGCGACGGAGAGGAGGGAGCCGCGUCGGAGGGGAUGGGAAGAUGACGGACCGUUCCAGGCGACGGAGGGGAGGGGACGGCGACGGACGGAAGCGUCUGAGGCGGCGUCCACGGAGGUCUCUCUCGUCGAUCUCCGCGACGGAGGGCAGCGCGGGGUGGAGGGGACGGCGGAGGCGCCCGGUGAGGGGAGGAGCGGCGGCUGCGGAGUUUGUCGAGGCCAGCGAGGGGAGGAGCGGCGGCUGCGGCGUUGGACAUGGCUGGCGAGGGGAGGAGCGGUGGCGGCGGUGGACUUGGCCAUAUCCUGUAAGUUACAGGCUUACAGCUCCCUCGGGAAAUAAUACCAAUCGGCAGCAGAGGUGAUAAGUCACUAGGUAACCCUGUUGUUCCCACGCGAACACAGCAGGAACAUCUAUUGCAUUGGCAGAAGAAUCGCCGGAUGUUGGUACGUUAGUGUUUGCUGGCUAAAGAACGUCUAUUGAAUUCCCUAGUAGGAAAGUUCUAGGCCCAUCACUUUGUACAAAAAAUUAAUGCAAUACAUGUCUAGAUGAUCAUGUUCUUUUUCUCAAACUGUCAUUUAGUGUUUGCUGGCUUUAAUUUAGAUAUGCAAAUGAGGGCAAGUUUUCUUGUUUAGUACCCUGUUUCCGAGGCUCGAUCGAGGUGCUGUUGGCUAUUUGCUGGUGGCGAAGAGUGCGGGGUCGUCGUGACUAGCAGGUGCUGAAUCAAUGGCGCUUGACGACGGCGAAAUUUAGAUGGCAACAUGCACAUCGGAGUCGAGUAUUGUUGACGCGAGGCGGCAGCAAGUACGGGCGAGUCAGUACUAUGAGUCACUUCUGCCAGAAGCCAAAGGGGAGAAUGAGCGAGAAGUUCUACUGGUAUUGUUAAAGAUGUGGGCAUUAAACUCCAAUAUUUACAGACAAAGAUUGAUAGUUGACUAAGCUUCCAUGAUUAUCUGAGAAUGUUGUAUAGUUAUAUAGAUCAAAGGGGGCUAUGUACUAUAAAUACACUAUUAGAGGUAGGGCAAAGGCUGAAUUUGCCGGAUGAGCGUACAUGAUAACAAAUUUUGGAAUUGUUCCAAUGAAUGGUGCCAACAUCAGUACCUCGUGAUCUUCUGAUGCCUAGUUAUCAAAAGGAUUGAACGAUUUAA